rnacentral:rRNA from 1 species
CGUUGCUCGGAAUCACUGGGCGUAAAGCGCACGUAGGCGGAUUGUUAAGUCAGGGGUGAAAUCUUGGAGCUCAACUCCAGAACUGCCUUUGAUACUGGCGAUCUCGAGUCCGGGAGAGGUGAGUGGAACUGCGAGUGUAGAGGUGAAAUUCGUAGAUAUUCGCAAGAACACCAGUGGCGAAGGCGGCUCACUGGCCCGGUACUGACGCUGAGGUGCGAAAGCGUGGGGAGCAAACAGG